ensembl:snoRNA
AUGUGGCCUUAACUUUAUUUUUUGUCUUUAAAUUCUUCAUAUUCUAGUGUCCCAUGCCAGAGCAAACUGUGACCCUGAAUCAUUGCCUGGCCUUUGUGUCUAUAGGCUGCUGGCACUGAAGCAGAUUGUAUUGUG